ensembl:lincRNA
UGACAUUACUAAUAGAUUAAAUAAGAAUAGCAAACACUUACACUAUAUGCUAUAAGCAUAUUGCUAUAUACUGGUCCUCCGUUAAGAGCUUAGUAUGUAUGAGUAUAAUAUACAUUCUUUUUGUUUUGUUUUGUUUUGCUUUUAGAGAUGGGGUCUUGCUAUGUUGCCCAGGCUGUUCUUGAACUCCUGGCCUCAAGUGAUCCUCCUGCCUCGGCCUCCCAAAAUGUUGGGAUUACAGGUGUGAGUUGCUGUGCCCGGCCUUGAUACACAUUCUUUCUCUAAAGCCAUAGACAGAGUUAGGAGCUACUCAAACACUGAGACUCAUAGAAGAACAUAAAAUUCUAGGAUUUCAGCCAGGAGCAAAAUUUUGGAAAAGUCGUUCCUUCAUCUGCUCAGAUUCCACCUCAUUGAGCAUCCUGGAAGUGUGGGCUCCUUCUAGGAUUGGCUUCAAUGUGUAAGCUCUUCAACAUCUAGCUUGAGGCCAUGCACAAGUAGGAUAGUAGAACCGACCAUCAGCAGGAUGUGUUGCCACAGAAGAAAUCGAUAUUGUGCUAGACUUCAUAUCAGGAAGCUGAGUACAGAUGGACUGACUCUCAUCAAUAAACGCCAUGGGAACACAAACCAGGUCAACAGUGGGGUGAGAUCAACAAACGCUGCUGUUGUUAUUUACAAUAUGGAGCUGGUAUGACUCUAGGUCUGGUUGAACUCUUACCUCUAGUCUGGAGGGUAUAGAGGUCAUGCAUGAUUUAAUGCAGGUCAUGGCCAUUUCCAGGGAGAAGAGCAGCCCACGAACCACUGGGGGUAUGAAUGGCAAUGUCUUUGCCUUGAAGGAUGGUACACUUAUUCCUUUGAAGUGCUUUACUGAAUAUUUA